GAUGAACGCUAGCGGCAGGCUUAAUACAUGCAAGUUGAACGAUCAGCAAUGAUAGUGGCGCACGGGUGAGUAACGCGUACACAAUCUACCUUAAGGAGGGGGAUAGCGACUGGAAACGGGCGGUAAUACCCCAUAGUUUUGUUGGUUGGCAUCAAUUGACAAAUAAACGAAUUUCGCCUUGAGAUGAGUGUGCGUUAGAUUAGAUAGUUGGUGAGGUAACGGCUCACCAAGUCGACGAUCUAUAGGGGGCGUGAGAGCGUGACCCCCCACACGGGUACUGAGACACGGACCCGACUCCUACGGGAGGCAGCAGUAGGGAAUAUUGGGCAAUGCUCGCAAGAGUGACCCAGCCAUGCCGCGUGAAGGAUUAAGGCCCUCUGGGUUGUAAACUUCUUUUCUCAGGGGCGAAAAACCGGGAUUCAUCCCGGCCUGACGGUACCUGAGGAAUAAGCACCGGCUAACUCCGUG
rnacentral:rRNA from 1 species